CCUUGGCAGAGCUCGCAUACUACCUGGCGAGUGGAGCUUGAACCCCAGAGUUUUUUGAGUUCUGACGAAGAGGUGGGGCAUACCCCAGGUAGACCUAAUGGCUGACAGAGGGAAUGCUCAGGUGACAAACUACUUUUCACUCUCCAAGGACCCUCAUGCUUUGGGUCAAGAAGCCCUUUCCCAUCAUUGGAACUUCAACCUUGAGUAUGUGCUCCCUCCCCUGAUUCCCUCUGAUGCCCUGGGUACUGAGAAAAAUCAGGAAGGUGAUAGCCAUUAUUCCGAUCUGGCCCUGGAGAACUUGGUAUGGAAAAUGUCUGACCCAUCCUUAGUUACUUCCAAUCUCCCCGCACGGUCUAAUCCAGGGUCCAGUGACUCACCCCAAUCCAUCCAGCUGGAACUUGGGGGCCUGGCUGUUGAAAUGGGUUCCCUUCUUAAGCAGGGCCUAUCCAAAGCAGUAAUUAAUACACUCCUGAAGGCAAGGAAACAGUCUACAUCUACCUGCUAUUACGAAAUUUGUCGGCCCUCAUGGGAAUUUCUCCCUCUCAUCUCAAGGUUCUUUAGUAAACUCAAUACAUUAUAUAACUCGUUCAGUUGAUUUGUGCUACAAUGUAUAAAUAACUAAACUGGUUAUCGCUGAAAUCCAGAUGGACCCUUCAUCUUUCCAGCCUUGUGUUUACGAGCUUUUCUGGGAAGCUCCCGCCCUACCUGAGCAGAAUGCUGUCUCCGGCUGUUCCCCCUCCUGUUACCUCCAAUCCAGUACCAGCACUUUAUUUAGUCUACCUCAAUACAAAAAGAAAGCAGCCCAAUCCUCCUUUUCCUACAGAGCACCGCAAUUAUGGAACGACCUCCUGCACAUUUUCAAAUCUUCCCCAAGCAUAAAAUCCUUUAAGAGACCCCUCUCUACAUACCUCAAAACAGAAUGCAC